rnacentral:rRNA from 1 species
UGGGGAAUCUUGGACAAUGGGGGCAACCCUGAUCCAGCCAUGCCGCGUGAGCGAUGAAGGCCUUAGGGUUGUAAAGCUCUUUCACCCGUGAAGAUAAUGACGGUAGCGGGAGAAGAAGCCCCGGCUAACUCCGUGCCAGCAGCCGCGGUAAUACGAAGGGGGCUAGCGUUGUUCGGAAUUACUGGGCGUAAAGCGCGCGUAGGCGGAUCUUUAAGUCAGGGGUGAAAUCCCGAGGCUCAACCUCGGAAUUGCCUCUGAUACUGGAGAUCUUGAGUCCGAGAGAGGUGAGUGGAACUCCGAGUGUAGAGGUGAAAUUCGUAGAUAUUCGGAAGAACACCAGUGGCGAAGGCGGCUCACUGGCUCGGUACUGACGCUAAGGUGCGAAAGCGUGGGGAGCAAACAGGAUUAGAUACCCCGGUAGUCC